UCUGCCCGCUGGCGGCGUGCCUAAUACAUGCAAGUCGAGCGAACGGACGAGAAGCUUGCUUCUCUGAUGUUAGCGGCGGACGGGUGAGUAACAAGUGGAUAACCUACCUAUAAGACUGGGAUAAAUUCGGGAAAACGGAGCUAAUACCGGAUAAUAUUUUGAACCGCAUGGUUCAAAAGUGAAAGACGGUCUUGCUGUCACUUAUAGAUGGAUCCGCGCUGCAUUAGCUAGUUGGUAAGGUAACGGCUUACCAAGGCAACGAUGCAUAGCCGACCUGAGAGGGUGAUCGGCCACACUGGAACUGAGACACGGUCCAGACUCCUACGGGAGGCAGCAGUAGGGAAUCUUCCGCAAUGGGCGAAAGCCUGACGGAGCAACGCCGCGUGAGUGAUGAAGGUCUUCGGAUCGUAAAACUCUGUUAUUAGGGAAGAACAUAUGUGUAAGUAACUGUGCACAUCUUGACGGUACCUAAUCAGAAAGCCACGGCUAACUACGUG
rnacentral:rRNA from 1 species